GGCGGCCGCGGGGAGGUUCGGGGCGGCGCAGCCCCGCGCGGUUGUGGGAUCGCUCCCGGGGGCCGCUCCUCUCUCGGGCACUGGGGUCGCGGGAGACGUCGUCGGGAGCUCGGUUUCUGGAGGCCCUUCCCCACCCGGCCUCUGCCUCCUCCACUCCCCCGGGCUGGACGGAACGGGGCCCAGCGCGGGAUGCGAGAAAUAACCAUGGAUAUGGGUAGAGACAGAGCCAUAUGGAAUGCACACUGCAGUGGUGAACACAUGGCCCAGCUCUGCCAUCAAGGAGAAGGAACAUGAAUGGAGCUGGAGGCCAUCAUCCUUAGUGAACUAACACAGGAGCAGAAAACCAAAUACCACAUGUUCUCAUGUGUAAGUGGGAGCUAAAUGAUGAGAACACAUGGACACAAAGAGGGGAACAACAGACACUGAAGCCUCCUUGAGGGAGGAGGGUAAGAGGAAGGAGAAGAUCAGAAAAGAUAACUACCAGGUACUAUGGUAGCUUAGUACCUGGGUGAUGAAAUAAUCUGUACACCCAACCCUCAUGACAGAAGUUUACCUGUGUAACAAACCUGCACAUGUAUCCCUGAAACUAAAAGUUUUUUAAAAAGUUAUUUAAUAUAUAUAUAUUUUUUUGAGACGGAGUUUUGCUCUUGUUGCCCAGGCUGGAGUGCGGUGGCGCAAUUUCGGCUCACCACAACCUCCGCCUCCCAGGUUCAAGCUAUUCCCCUGCCUCAGCCUCCCUAGUAGCUGGGAUUACAGGCUUGUGCCACCACGCCGGCUAAUUUUGUAUUUUUUGUAGAGACGGGGUUUCUCCAUGUUGGUCAGGCUGGUCUCGAACUCCCGACCUCAGGUGAUCCACCCCCCUCGGCCUCCCAAAGUGCUAGGAUUACAGGCAUGAGCCACUGCGCCCGGCAAAAAGUUAUUUAAUAUUAAUGGGACAAUACUCAUUGCAAGAAUCAGACUUCAAUUGCUAGCAUAAGUAAAUGACAGGCAGGAGAUAUUGAAAAUGCAAUCUUAUAGACAUUCAAGGAGAGGACGCAGGACAUUUCUGUGUCAUAAAUGUACUAUGGAAAAUAAAAAUGAGAAAAAUGGAAAUAAAAUACAAGAAAAGGUUAUGAUAAAUUUCAUAUUAUUUUACCACAAUAAAAAAAUUUUAAUAAAUUAUAAAUGGUGUGAUAUGUUUUGCCUGUGUUCCACCCAAAUCUCAUCUUGAAUUAGAGCUCCCACAAUUCCCACGUGUUGUGGCUGGGACCCUGUGGGAGAUAAUUGAAUCAUGGGGGCAGUUUACCCCAUACUGUUCUCUUGGUGGUGAAUAAGUCUCAUGAGAGUUGAUGGUUUGAUAAGGGGUUUCCCCUUUUGCUUGGCUCUCAUUCUCUCUUGACUGCCACCAUGUAAGAUGUGCCUUUUGCCUUCCACCAUGAUUGUGAAGCCUCCCAGCCACAUGGAACUGUGAGUC
rnacentral:lncRNA from 1 species